GACAGAGGGUGCAAGCGUUGUUCGGAAUUACUGGGCGUAAAGGGCGCGUAGGCGGUUGGGUAAGUUGGAUGUGAAAUACCUGGUUUCAUGCUAGGAACUGCAUUCAAGACUGCUCGACUGGAGUAUCGGAGAGGGAAGUGGAAUUCCUGGUGUAGAGGUGAAAUUCGUAGAUAUCAGGAGGAACACCGGAGGCGAAGGCGACUUCCUGGCCGAUAACUGACGCUGAGGCGCGAAAGCGUGGGUAGCAAACAGGAUUAGAUACCCUGGUAGUCCACGCUGUAAACGAUGAACACUAGUUGUCAUGGGUAUUGACCCCCGUGGUGACGCAGCUAACGCAUUAAGUGUUCCGCCUGGGGAGUACGGUCGCAAGAUUAAA
rnacentral:rRNA from 1 species